GCCUAUGAGGUAAAAUGGGACACUUCAAGAAGGACUGCCCAACUGAAGGAAACAACAAAGACACAGAAGGAGCCUGACUCUAAUGCUUAGGGAGAAGCAUCAAGGACAUAGUAGAUUUUGGUAUGUCACUCGAUCUCGGAUAACUAAACUAAAAACAAUAAAAGAUUAAUUCAAAAUGUAAAUUCUUCCCAGUAAUGCGAAAGUCGCAGCACUGUUACAAGAUUUAAAAAUUCAUCAGGUAAAACUAUAAUGGCUAAACAUAUAUGUUACGAUCAUGUAUAUUUAAGAUGGACAGACCUAGAGUGAGCGAAUGCCGCCUCAUUUCUUGUUCCUCGUUUGGUUGUGGAUUUAGGGCGGGGGUCGCUCAGUCAACAGUCCUCCCCACCUUAAAUAUAUAUGACUUGUAUAUGUGAGGCGAUUAUAGAAAUGCCUCGUGAGAAUCCGUUCAUGAAAAGGUACUCUAUUCGGAAACUCUUAUGACUAUCUAUAGUUCCGUGUCGACUCUAUCGGUCCUAGUAUCCACAGUAGUGAUACAUAGGACGAAACCCGAGACGCCGAGAACUUGUGUGCCUGUUCGGCACAUGACUCUAUCGAUCUUCACUUUACAUCAUGUCGGAGUGUGCCAACUUCGACGACUCUAUUGAUCAUGGUUUGACUUCGUGCAACCAUGUGCACGUCCUUAGUGCUGUGCAAAAAGAACUUUCUCUAUAGCCAUAUCGGCAAAUAAAGGUUCUUUCGAACCUAAACCUAACACAAAUAAUCAAACCUAAUGCGAUCAGCCAGUCGUCUCUCUUAUCUCAAACCUUCCGAAGCAUCCAAGAGAGGAUACCCCGCUCUGUUGACCAACCCCUCGUAGUCAGAUAAACACCGAAGCGAAAGGCACUGCCGAUACUCUAAGAAGACGACAACUAAUCGAAGCAUACUCCGUAGAAUCCCCGGAAAGACCCUUCGCACCUCGCACGUCAGGUUCGUAAGCAUAAAGAUCAGAACUCAUGAGACUGACCACUAUAACCAGGUAUACUGCUGGCACACAUCAAGUAUUGGCGGUUAAGCCAAGAAUGAGCUCUACCAUGGACCCCUUCGCAAAACACUUUCACCCUAUUCCAUAACACAGGAGCCGAAAUCAAGAGAAUCACUGCGGAUUGAGCUAGUAAAGUUCCGAGUGAAGAGACCCUAUACCCACUAGAUUUAACCUAGACUGAGAAAACUCAGAACCUUCGGAAGAGUAGUUGCAAUAGGUGCUCGCACUACUCAGGCACCUCGUCCACCCAGUUAUAGACGAAGAAUGCCUGUCAUCCUCCACCCUCUUGCAUGGAGGAAAUCGUCGUCGCCCUGUAGACGAUAAAUUACAUUCUCCGAAGUGAACACUAGGAUACUGAGAACUACAAGAUAACCUUUGCAGCCAAGAAUACUUGGUCAAGUGCGAAAGUAGUUGCAUUAAAUCUCAUGACCCGGAUCCUGAAGAGAUCAUAGACUUGACACCAGCCCGGGUGUUAGUCGAAGGGUUAUGCAGGAACAUGCACAUUCCACGCUAGAAUAAACCACAGUCUUAGAGAUUCAUUGGACUAUUAGGUGUUCCACGAAUACUAUCUCACACACAAAUAGUAGAACCACCUCCCGAGACAGUCCAACACUCGUAUGGUAAAACCCUAUCUCCCCUACCCUCAGGGUUUCCACAUCUCAAGAAUCCCUUAGUGCAGAUUCAUUUCGCACAAGCUUGAGAUAGACACUCUAUAACAAGCAAAUAACCAUGGUCACGCAACCCACUCGACGAUCUAGAAAGUCUCUAUCAACCAGUCGACAGGAAACGCGAGACCAAAUACCACUCGAGCUUUCUAAGAACCAACCCGAAGGACUACACACACAGUACGAGUAAGAACGUUAAGAACGUCAGAAUGGCGAUCACGCCAUUGAUGAUCUUGCCAUAAAAGUACACUAUGUACUAAGUACUGAAAAGCUCUACCAUUCCGAGAGAUUAGGACCAUAUGAGAAUCCACAUGGAGACUUGGUCCAACCCUUUUUAGGCCGCUACUACCUUCGGAUAUACCACAAGAUUCACACCCGAUCAAUACACUCCUUAGACUUGAUAUGUGAUUUCUCAACAUCACUCUUCGUGCCUCACCCAUAUUGAUAGAAUCCAUUGAGAAACCUAACCUUGUAGAUACACCAGUUGGAACCCACUAGCUACACUAGACGGAAUCCGCAUCCCGUAUGUGAAGGUCUGUCGGAAUGACAAACACAGACUAGAGAUCACUUAGGAAUGCGAGGACGACCGUGUAGGAAGUACUCCCUUACCCCUACUUGGCCAUUCAUACCUACUUCCUUGCCUAGACCUGAAUUUCGGGACAAAAUUCCCUCUAACGGGGGGAUGAUGUGACAACCCAAGUUGUUCCGUUACAUUUCCCCGUUACCGUUAACGGAAUAUUCCAGUUAUAAAAGUCCCGUUAAUUAGAGUUCGUCAAUUUAAUAAACAUCCCAAUUGUUUACAUUUAAAAUGCCGUUAAUUCGUGAUAAAAGGAAAUAAAAACACAGGACACACAUUUCCAUUUAGUUGGAAAAGUUAGUUUUUAUUAUUGCGACCACUAAAUCGGGUGCGACCAAAAGCCCCGUAUAACGGCAGUAUUGGGUAGAAUUCCACUGAGCUCCAACUCCCACCCAUAUAUAAAGGGGAGUAAACUCCAUUUGAGCUCUUUCCACCCUCUCUCUCUAUACUCUCUCUCUAGACUCGUUUUCGCCCCGAAUCCGCAACCAAACGCUUCCAAAUUGUAAGUCCGCUUACCCUAACUUGUUCCAAACAUAAUGGCUUGUGAUUAUACCUUAAAAAUCAUCCAAGAAGGCAUGGAAUAAGGAGUUUAUGGCCCAGGAACACUCUAGGGCCGUAAACCCCUAAUAUGGUGCCAAACGUGCCUUUAAACUCAUCCUUAAGCCUAGAAAAUAUUAGGGGACUUAGCCUAGGAGUGUUUGAACCCCAAAACAAUAAGAUUUGUGGCAUAAAAGAGGGUUUACAGCCCAAGCACAUGCUUAGGCCGUAAACACCCUCUAAACUUGUUAAAUCAAGUUCCAAACACUCCCAAACCACCCAUAGGCUUAUGGCAUAAUUUAAGGACUUAGUAUUUGGGGUUUUGAUCACUUAAACACAUCAAAAUGAAGGGGAAAAGGAGUUUACGGCCCAAGCAAGUACCUAGGCCGUAAACUCCCCAAAACACACCCAAAUGAUGGUUUUAAUCCCCCAAAAUAGCAUCACAUUCCAUUAUAAAUUGCUAGGAAGGUAAUUAGGGCUUAAAACUUCACUAAAUCUAAGGUAUGAGAGUUUUUGGCCGUAAACUCCCAUGGGAGUUGUCCCUAGGCCGUAAACUCCAAUAUAAUGCCCUUAGAAGCCUCAAAUCCACUAAUGCCUUUUGGGAAAAGUACUUAGAAUAAUUCCAUGAGCAAGUAGAAGCCUUAAAACACCCUAGAACCCAUCACCAUGAGUUUAUGGCCAUAAACUCAUGGUGAGUAGUCCCUGGGCCGUAAACUAUGUGAUAAGGGUUUACUCUUGGAUAGUAAGCUCCAUUCCUUAGCCAUACUCACCUUUAGACGCUACCCGGGACACCUAAACACUUAACCAAAGUGUUUUCCGCUCCUGUGAGCGUGUAUAUUUGUUUAAUUAGUAUAUAUUAUGCUAAUUGUAUGCGAACAUAUGUUAUCAUAUGUUAAAUAGGUCAUUGUGUGUGUUCAAGUCCUUGCAUGACACCGAACGCCCAAAUGGCACCUUCGUCGGACCUACUUACACCAGGUGAGUUCAUACCCCUGAAUGAACCUUUUAAAUGUUUUUACAUGUUUUAUAGAGGGGAUACAAGUUAAACAUGCCAGUUAUCAUAUCAAUCACAUGUGAUUGAUAGCCCGCAUGCACAAGAUUUUACCACACUGUAUACUGUUUUACCGAGUAGGACACUAUAAAUGGUUUUCUAAAAGGUUUUCACUUGUUCAAGUUCAUACUUUAACUGUUUUAUCAAAGUUUCAUUUCAAACUGAUUUAUGAAAGAUUUCCAAAGAAUUUCUAAAAGUGUUACAUCAAACUUAUUUCACAAAGGAAUACCAAGUCGUGAUUUUCUUAAAAUAUAAAGGUUUUCCAAAGUUUACGCCUAUGUUUUUAUACUUCUACUCGAUAACAUUUCCACUUCGAGAUACACUUAUACUUGAUAACGUUUCCACUUCGAGAUACACUUAUACUUGAUAACGUUUCCACUUCGCGAUACGUUCAUACCUGAUGGACACUUAUACUUGUUCACACUCUUACUUAGUGAUACGUUCCUACUUCACUUACACUUGAUAUCGCUCCUACUUCACUUAUACUUGUAGUCGCUUAUACCUGAUAGACGCUCUUACAUCACUCAUGUCGUCUCUACUUCGUGAUACGCUUAUACUUGUUCGACACUCCUACUUCACUUGCGACCGCUCCUACUUCACUUGUUAGACACUCCUACUUCACAAGAAUCACUUCUACUUGAUACACACUCAGUCGUAGUUAGAUGUAUGUCCGUGCUUAUAUAGGUACAUAUAAGUAAUGAUUGAAAGACUUAGGAAGGCUCGUCCGCCCUAUUUCCUUUUCUUCGUUGGGAUGUGGUCUGGUGGGAUCGGAUGGCCGUCCGAAGGUCGUUUGAUUCAUUAGUUAUAUAUUAUGUAUAUGAGCAUGGACAUAUAGGAAUUCUCUAGUCAGUUCAGUUAAGAGUCUCUACCUCUAGUCUACACUUACAUUAGAAACCCACUAUUGGGAAGUCUCUACCUCUAGUUCAACACUUACACACUACCCACUAUUUGGAAGUCUCUACCCACUAUUUGGGAUGCAUCUUCAGGACACGGCCUUCUCCGUCGUCUAGUUGGUAACCAGAGUCUCCUGUAGGGAGAGCGGACAUUGUGUGUAUAGAUCUAUACGGGAUUGACAACCCCGCACCCAGACUGCUAGCUACAGUCCCGGCCUACCAAGCCAAUGGGUGACAAAUGUCACAUCUUAUAGACGCUUGUAGGGCGUCUGGAACUCUAGUCAGUAUGGUUACGAGUAUCCCGUGUUACCUUAUAAUUCAUGGCUUUAAGGUAACGGUAUUUCGCCAGCAAUUUACACUGUAUGCUGGUAACUCAUUUUAAGAGUCACACUGUUUUGGACCUUACAAGACGUAUCUUUCUUUUGAUGCUGUCUGAGGUCAGUAUCGAUUGUAUUCACAGAAUCCAUUGUACUCACUGUAUUCAUUGUAUUUACUGUGUUCACUGUUUUAGACCUUGCUAGACGUAUCUUUCAUUAGAUAUUGUAUGCGGUCUGUAUUCACUGUUUUAGACCUUACUAGUUGUACCUUUCAUUUGGUACCUUCUGGGGUCUGUGUCUCCACUUGUUAGACUGAACCAGGAUUGUCGUUCGUUCGAUACUUUCCUGGAGUCUAUGGUUCCUUGCCUUAGUCAGCAGUCCUCACUGCUGAGGCAUAUGAUAUUCCCUGAUGUCGUUUUCUUUCCUCAAUAAUCAAAUUCAGUACUUUGAUAAUGAUAGUAACUUAGGGAAAACUACUUUUUACCACACAUCACUGACCAGUCUUGGUAGAAGGCUGCUUUUAUUAAAGAAAAUAUAGGAUUUUCUGGAAAGGACUCUAAUACACUGAAAUCUCUUAAACUACUACUUUUAUUAAAGUUAUUUGAAUGAAAACGUCACUAAAUGCUUAUGAACUCACCAGCAUUUGUAAAAAUGCUGAUACUUGCUUUUCAAAUAACUUGUAUUCUCAGGUCAGAAAUUAGAUAGGUACAUCCCCGGAGCAGUUGAUGUAGAUAGCUUAGUACCACGCUGUAUUUAUUUCUAUUACUUGUAUUACCUUGAUGUACUGUAAUGUAACCAUGUAAAAUUAUUACUAUUAAUGCAAUGUUUUGUUGUACUUUGAUUACUAUAUGCAUGUGUUGUUAUACAACCUAUAAACACAAUGGGAUAAAACACUCUGACCAAGAGUUAUACUUUAAAAUAUAACCGUAUUUUACCAAAGUAUAAUAACAUCCAGAAUCUAAACACUCGAACAAAAGUAUCACAAGAAGAACAAUAAUAAAGGUCUUCGGAUGUUGAGCACUACAGUCAAACCUGAGAAGUUACGUAAUCGUAAGCUGGGAUAAAUGUAACCUGAUCAACUACAUUUAUCCGAGAUGCAAUGAACGUGUGCUUGGGAGUAAUAGUGGUGUACAACAGGUUUGAAACUUACCAACUAGGGAUGUUAGAGCCAAACAUAAAGUUAAAAUACUAUAGGAGUAUUUUAGAACGCUAAAAGAUUCACACUAAUCCCAAAAUUCAUAUUCAGAAGAUAAGGAAACAAACAAGAAUUAAAAUACCAUAGGGGUAUUUUAGAAUCCAUAAACAACCUUGCGUGAAUAACUAAAAAGAUCCUUAUUGAUAUACCUACAACUAUAGAGGGUAUACUCCCAAGGUUAUAUAUAAUAAGGAUCCCAUAGGCUAAGAAUGUGUGGUUUCGCUCUAUUUCCUUUUCCUCGUUGGGAUGUGGUUCUAGAUUAGUAUCACAUAUUCGAAGGCCUAUCAGAUUUAAGCUAUAUAUGGUUUGUAUACCCUAUGUAAUCGUAGCAGGACUCGAUAUGGAUCAUACAGUGAAAUGUUAAUAAUCUCUUAGGAUUCUUUAGACAUUUCCAUUCUCGCACGAACCCUGUAGAAAACCUUACCCACUUCAGUGCUUGACAGAAGAGUUGGUUCCGACCCCGAGGAGGUUCAUUGAGAAGAUUUCCUGUUCGGAAAUAAAUGAACUGGGUCGAGACUAUUGAAUUCACCAGGUGCCUAUAUCCUUUUAGGGACAUUGGUGAGGAUUCGCCUAAACUUCGGAGAUUCCCAGUCAUCCAUCAUGAAGUGAUGACACCCAUGGUCGGAAUCAGAAGGGUGGCGGUGUAGAAAUUCAAUAUGUCCAUACGAGAAGAGAAACCUAGGAAACUACCCGAAGGAAACCAACUCCGAUUCCAGUCAAAAAUACGAGGCAAACCACUAGAGCCAUUAUAUGGAACCCCGGAAUUGUCUUUUCCUCAUGUUCGUCCCACUAAUACACCCAUAAAAUAAUACAAUUUAAUGAGGUAGUGGUUGCACUACUCACGCUAUGUGUUAGGUAAAUCGUCGUUUCCCGUUGCCAGAUACACGAUUAGGGCGGAUCCUCGCACCUUUAUUGAGAGAAUUUUAGCCAUCUGCCCUUGUGAUCCUCUAUUUCCGCAGUCCGUUCCGAACCAUUCUCAAAUCUCUCCAGGCCGGAGAGUGGAACCUUUCCCAGUAUAAAGGUAACUUAGUAGGAACGACUCGCAUCUUAUGGCCUUUUUCCGAUACUCAUACUCUUACCUUGAUCACUAGGACUACAUCAUAGGGAUGUAGGUCGACACUCAAACGACCAAUACCUAGGGCACGGGAAAAAUUUAUGCCUAAUACGUUCAGGACAGAAAUGUCCAGGGUUAACCAUCUUCUCUCAUUACCUUGUAUUCCUUUCCGUGUAGGAAAACCAUGCCACCGAAGAAGCGUAACCAAUCCACAAGCAAGAAACCUGCUCUCUUAUUCGAUGAAGCUACGUUCCAAGCUGCAGUCUCANNNCCGUAGCAGCUGUCAUGGCUCACCUGAAUGCUAACACCGCCAAUGUUAGCAAGGGCCCUGUCGGGAUUUCCAAUCCUGGCGAUGUACAGCAACAACCAUCACUUCCAUACUCAGCCACCCAAGAACCUCCACUGAACCCACUAAAGAGAAAACUCAAGAUAGAGGAGGGAAGUACCUCGGCUCACGGACCUUCCGAAGGGAAACGAGCUGAGGCAGUCUAUACCCCUGUCAAUCCUUCCCUCCCGACCUAAAGAAGACCAUACCUAGAAGACCUUCCCCACUGCAGCAGGUGCAGCUACCAUCAUCACGGGGUCUACCGAGAGCUCUAUUAUGCUAGGUGCCACAUGUUGGGGCAUACUGCUCGCGUCUGUAGAACCCCGGUUGAGUUCAUUACAUCAACCACCCAUGUGGCAACCCGUACAGUUUGCCGCCUAUGAGGUAAAAUGGGACACUUCAAGAAGGUCUGCCCAACUGAAGGAAACAACAAAGACACAGAAGGAGCCUGACUCUAAUGCUUAGGGAGAAGCAUCAAGGACUUAGUAGAUUUUGGUACGUCACUCGAUCUCGGAUAACUAAACUAAAAACAAUAAAAGAUUAAUUCAAUAUGUAAAUUCUUCCCAGUAAGGCGAAAGUCGCAGCACUGUUACAAGAUUUAAAAAUUCAUCAGGUAAAACUAUAAUGGCUAAACAUAUAUGUUACGAUCAUGUAUAUUUAAGAUGGACAGACCUAGAGUG
rnacentral:lncRNA from 1 species